ensembl:snRNA U6 U6 spliceosomal RNA
GUGCUCGCUUAGGCAGCACAUCCACAAAAUCCGGAACAGUACAGAGACGAUUAGAGUGGCCCCCAUGCAAGGAUGACACGCAAAUUCGUGAAGCACACUCCGUAUUU